UACGUAGGUGGCAAGCGUUAUCCGGAUUUAUUGGGCGUAAAGGGAACGCAGGCGGUCUUUUAAGUCUGAUGUGAAAGCCUUCGGCUUAACCGGAGUAGUGCAUUGGAAACUGGGAGACUUGAGUGCAGAAGAGGAGAGUGGAUCUCCAUGUGUAGCGGUGAAAUGCGUAGAUAUAUGGAAGAACACCAGUGGCGAAAGCGGCUCUCUGGUCUGUAACUGACGCUGAGGUUCGAAAGCGUGGGUAGCAAACAGG
rnacentral:rRNA from 1 species